UUCAGUUGGUCUGGAUGAGCCUAGGGCUCUACAUUUGCCACAAUCUCCCCAGUGAUCCUGAGGGAGGAGAAACCCCAGGGAAAAUAUGGCUAAUGAGGAUGAAGAAAUAGACGAGAGGUGGAACUUCAGUGAAGAGGAAAACUCUUCCUAGCCUUGGUCCAGAGCGAGCACACUAAAACUCUGUCCUGAAAGAGUGCGCAAGGUAGCGAGGAGUGAAGACGGGAGAAGGGAAGAACACCAGACCCCAAGGCAAUUGUCAAACUGCUUUGAAAGCCUAGAGACUACCAAAACUUCACAGGACCAUCUAAAGCCACUUCCAGCUGGCAGAGGUGGCCAUUUUCUCCCAUACAUGCCGGAGCAGAGUGGUCAAUGACAUCUAGUUUGAAUAGAAGACUCCUGAAUUAUGACUCUAUUUCUUUCUGUAAUUCAUAGAUAUUAUUCUAGUCUUCUGCAUUCCAGUGUUGUAGAUCUCCAAGUGUUUCUUGAACUCAUGGGGAAAACCCCCUCACUAGUAUUCUCUGCUGGUGCUUCUACACAACUGAAGACCUCACUGAACCUGGGAGCCUAUAGACCUCAGUAGAGGCUGAAGAAGAUACAGCUGAAUCAAAAUUGGACAAGGAAGAAAGAUGACAAUGUGUCUACUGCCAUCAGGCAAUGUUAAUUUUAACUUUUAAGAUGUUUCUUGUGGGCCUUCCCCUACAAGUCACUCCCAUAGUACCGUUCUCUAGGAGAUAAAAGCUAUGUUCAUAAAAUAA